UACGUAGGGUGCGAGCGUUGUCCGGAAUUAUUGGGCGUAAAGGGCUCGUAGGCGGUUUGUCGCGUCGGGAGUGAAAACCCAGGGCUUAACCCUGGGCUGGCUUUCGAUACGGGCAGACUAGAGGUAUGCAGGGGAGAACGGAAUUCCUGGUGUAGCGGUGAAAUGCGCAGAUAUCAGGAGGAACACCGGUGGCGAAGGCGGUUCUCUGGGCAUUACCUGACGCUGAGGAGCGAAAGUGUGGGGAGCGAACAGG
rnacentral:rRNA from 2 species